rnacentral:rRNA from 1 species
UACGUAGGGGGCAAGCGUUGUCCGGAUUUAUUGGGCGUAAAGAGCGUGUAGGCGGCUAGAUAGGUCCGUUGUGAAAACUCGAGGCUCAACCUCGAGACGUCGAUGGAAACCAUCUGGCUAGAGUCCGGAAGAGGAGAGUGGAAUUCCUGGUGUAGCGGUGAAAUGCGCAGAUAUCGGGAGGAACACCAAUGGCGAAGGCAGCUCGCUGGGACGUUACUGACGCUGAGACGCGAAAGCGUGGGGAGCAAACAGG